rnacentral:lncRNA from 1 species
GCCCGAGAUUUUCGUUCACCUGAGGCCGCCGCGUUUUGUGUCAGAAAUCGGGCCCCGUGAGGGGGGUACCUAUUUGUUUUGUUUCGUUUAUAGUGUUCUUUUCAAUUUAUGGAUUACUUCCGCCUAUCAAAUUAAAGAGGAAAGAAAGGCGCGUAUUAUGGCGUUUUCCACUUCGGGAUCGGUUGUGUGUGUUCGGAGUUACAAGGAGUUAAAAAUAAGCCCCUGAUCACAACCUGCCACUGUUCCAUUGGAUUUAUUGACAGCUCACCAGAAUAAAUCCUGACUUUAAUUAAAAUCCAGAAAUGCUUGCGGAGUUGGUCGAAUUCACAGAAAAACUUGUUUGAACAAGUUGCAAAAAAAUUGAGCACUUAAGAAAGCAUUUGUUGCAGACAAGGAAAAAAAAUUGACAUUAAUUCAUUAAUUUAACAAUAUCAAGUUGGCAGACUGGGUGAACUAAACAAUUGCCAGAAAUAAAGAAAGAAUAAAUAAGUAUCGUGACACAAUUGCGUGCUUCAAAAAACAUGUCAUAUUUCACAACUAAUUGUCUUUGAAGAAGUUGAACAUUUAAAUAAACACAAUAAAAAUAUAAUGAAAAACUUGCUGAACAAACUGAAGUAAUAAAAUUAGAA